CCUACGGGGGGCUGCAGUGAGGAAUAUUGGUCAAUGGACGAAAGUCUGAACCAGCCAUCCCGCGUGCAGGAUGAAAGCCCUAUGGGUUGUAAACUGCUUUUAGCAGAGAAGAAAAGCUUUCAUUAAUGAGAGUCUGACGGUAUCUGCAGAAUAAGCACCGGCUAACUCCGUGCCAGCAGCCGCGGUAAUACGGAGGGUGCGAGCGUUAUCCGGAAUUACUGGUGUGAAAGGGGAGUAUGAAGGCAGUUGUGAAAUCUUGUCGCUUAACGAUAGAAUUGCCAAUGAUACUGGUACUCGUGAAUUGGGUUGAGGUUAGCGGAAUGUGACAUGUAGCGGUGAAAUGCAUAGAUAUGUCAUGGAACACCAAUUGCGAAGGCAGCUAACUGGGCCUUGAUUGACGCUGAGGCACGAAAGCGUGGGUAGCGAACAGGAUUAGAUACCCUAGUAGUC
rnacentral:rRNA from 1 species